CUAGCUAGCUACUUCAGAAAGACGUUUAAACGUUUUUUCUGGGGGGUAAUUACUGUCCCAUGUGUAACUAUAUCGCGUUAACGUGCGUCCAUCGAACUCCGGCUUCCUCUCAGACCCUCCAACCCUUGAAUAAUAUGGCAGAUCCCCUGUGUGACGGCAGAGAGCAAAAGACACAGAAAAAGUUGGCAAGAGCUACAAGAGCAGUCAACACUGUCAAGCUGCCAAGGCAGAAGUUGGGACACCCUGUGUUGAUGGUCGGCCUGAUUGUCCAUAUUCAUCCCCUUGUGAUAACUUUGCAGUCCUCAAGAUGGUGUCCUUUCUUCUUCUGACUGAAUUCUGCAUGUCCAGGAGUCUUAACAGCAUUGCUCAGCUUCAAUGAAACCAUCCUUUUCAUGACCCCCAAGCUCGACCUCGGCGUAACUGGAGUGGCAGCCCUGGUUGCGGAACUUCAUAGAGGGCCAGUAGUUAUUGGUGCGUCGCUAAGGACAACAGACAGCGGUUGCUAAAGGCCAGGCAGCAGACACACAUGCAGUGGUGGCCAAAGUAUUCAUAUCCUUUACUUAAGGGUUGACACCACACUGUAAAAAGACUCUGUUAUGUGUAAAAGUCUUGCUUUUAAAACGUUACUACAGCAAAAGUAUGUGAGUAUAAACAAGAAAAAACACUUUUAAGUAUUAAAAGUCAAAGAUGAAAAUGUCCCCUGUGACUGCUAUACAUCAUUAACUUAUUAUUAUUGCAUUAACGUUAAUCAGCAUUUUAUUGUUGCAGAUUUUACUAUUCUUUAUAGGACUGCAACUAAUGACUAUUUUCAUUAUGCAUUACAUUCCUGAUUAUUUUCUCUGUCAAUUGUUUGAAAAUAUUGAGAAAUGUUCUUAGAGCCCAAAGUGACGCCCCUCACAAUGUUUUUUCCCCCCCAAACAAUAGUAAAAACUUCUAAAUUAUUACAGAUUAAUUAAAUGCAGGAAAUUGUCAAAUUUAUGAAGCUGCUGGAGCCAUGAAAUGUCUUUGUAUGAAAAAUUUAAAAAAGUUGCCAAUUCAUUUUCUGGCAAUUGUCUAAAAACCAUAAAUCAACUACACGUUUCAUCUGUACUUGUAUUGUAGUGAAGUAAAAAAGUACAACGUUUUCCUCUAUGAUGUAGUGGAGUAGAAGUAGAAAUGAAAAGAGAGUGAAGUUCAAGUACCUUACAUUUGUACUCUACUAAAUGUACUUAGUUACGUUCCACCACUGUAAACAUGAGUGUGCAUGUGGGAUUUUGUUAAAGUUGUGGUAGGCGUUAUGUUUUUGGUGCCGCUGGGCAAAUAAUUCCUGAUAACCCUUUAGAAUAUUGUAAGCGGUCUGAGAGAAAACAAGACUUCUGCACCUCCUGUUGGCUCUGUUUUUAGGCUUUAGAAAAUCCAGCCUGUGACGGGAGACUUUGGCCAAUCACAGGUCCUUUCAGAGAGAGAGCAUUCCUAUUGGCUGUUCUGCACAUGUAGACGGAGAGGGGGAGCUGCAGGAAGAGGUCUCACUCUACUUAAAAUUCUGGUUCUGGUUUGUUGCUUUCUACCUACAGCAGCUAUAAACAGAAAAAGAAA